rnacentral:rRNA from 1 species
UACGUAGGGUGCGAGCGUUGCCCGGAUUUAUUGGGCGUAAAGGGUGCGUAGGCGGUCGGGUAAGUCUGAUGUGAAAUCUCACAGCUUAACUGUGAAACUGCAUUGGAUACUAUCCGGCUAGAGGAAUGGAGGGGAGACUGGAAUACUUGGUGUAGCAGUGAAAUGCGUAGAUAUCAAGUGGAACACCAGUGGCGAAGGCGAGUCUCUGGACAUUUCCUGACGCUGAGGCACGAAAGCCAGGGGAGCAAACGGG